GCAGUCGAACGAGAUUAUCCAGCUUGCUGGAUAUGAAAGUGGCGCACGGGUGCGUAACGCGUAUGCAACCUACCUUAAUCAGGGGGAUAGCCCGGAGAAAUCCGGAUUAACACCGCAUAAAAACACAGGAUAGCAUUAUCCAAUGUUCAAAUAUUAAUAGGAUUGAGAUGGGCAUGCGUGUCAUUAGCUAGUUGGCGGGGUAACGGCCCACCAAGGCGACGAUGACUAGGGGAUCUGAGAGGAUGACCCCCCACACUGGUACUGAGACACGGACCAGACUCCUACGGGAGGCAGCAGUAAGGAAUAUUGGUCAAUGGAGGCAACUCUGAACCAGCCAUGCCGCGUGCAGGAAGACUGCCCUAUGGGUUGUAAACUGCUUUUAUCCGGGAAUAAACCUCAAUACGAGUAUUGAGCUGAAUGUACCGGAAGAAUAAGGAUCGGCUAACUCCGUGCCAGCAGCCGCGGUAAUACGGAGGAUCCAAGCGUUAUCCGGAUUUAUUGGGUUUAAAGGGUGCGUAGGCGGCCUGUUAAGUCAGGGGUGAAAGACGGUAGCUCAACUAUCGCAGUGCCCUUGAUACUGAUGGGCUUGAAUGGACUAGAGGUAGGCGGAAUGAGACAAGUAGCGGUGAAAUGCAUAGAUAUGUCUCAGAACACCGAUUGCGAAGGCAGCUUACUAUGGUUUAAUUGACGCUGAGGCACGAAAGCGUGGGGAUCAAACAGGAUUAGAU
rnacentral:rRNA from 1 species